rnacentral:rRNA from 1 species
UUGACCUCAAAUCGGGUGAGACUACCCGCUGAACUUAAGCAUAUCAAUAAGCGGAGGAAAAGAAACUAACAAGGAUUCCCCUAGUAACUGCGAGUGAAGCGGGAAAAGCUCAAAUUUAAAAUCUGGCGGUCUUUGGCUGUCCGAGUUGUAAUUUAGAGAAGCGUCUUCCGCGCCGGACCGUGCACAAGUCUCCUGGAAUGGAGCGUCAUAGAGGGUGAGAAUCCCGUCUUUGGCACGGAUGCCUGGUGCUUUUGUGAUGCGCUCUCAAAGAGUCGAGUUGUUUGGGAAUGCAGCUCAAAAUGGGUGGUGAACUCCAUCUAAAGCUAAAUAUUGG